rnacentral:rRNA from 1 species
AUUGAACGCUGGCGGCAGGCCUAACACAUGCAAGUCGAACGGUAACAGAAAGCAGCUUGCUGCUUUGCUGCCGAGUGGCGGACGGGUGAGUAAUGUCUGGGAAACUGCCUGAUGGAGGGGGAUAACUACUGGAAACGGUAGCUAAUACCGCAUAACGUCGCAAGACCAAAGAGGGGGACCUUCGGGCCUCUUGCCAUCGGAUGUGCCCAGAUGGGAUUAGCUAGUAGGUGGGGUAACGGCUCACCUAGGCGACGAUCCCUAGCUGGUCUGAGAGGAUGGCCAGCCACACUGGAACUGAGACACGGUCCAGACUCCUACGGGAGGCAGCAGUGGGGAAUAUUGCACAAUGGGCGCAAGCCUGAUGCAGCCAUGCCGCGUGUAUGAAGAAGGCCUUCGGGUUGUAAAGUACUUUCAGCGGGGAGGAAGGGAGUAAAGUUAAUACCUUUGCUCAUUGACGUUACCCGCAGAAGAAGCACCGGCUAACUCCGUG